GUGCUUCUAGUUGAAUAACCCCUGACAGUUUUAUGUCAGGGGGGGGGGGAAGUGGUGGUUGAUGAAUU
rnacentral:tRNA from 1 species